UGAGGAAUAUUGGUCAAUGGGCGAGAGCCUGAACCAGCCAAGUAGCGUGCAGGAUGACGGCCCUAUGGGUUGUAAACUGCUUUUAUAAGGGAAUAAAGUGAGAGUCGUGACUCUUUUUGCAUGUACCUUAUGAAUAAGGACCGGCUAAUUCCGUGCCAGCAGCCGCGGUAAUACGGAAGGUCCGGGCGUUAUCCGGAUUUAUUGGGUUUAAAGGGAGCGUAGGCCGGAGAUUAAGCGUGUUGUGAAAUGUAGACGCUCAACGUCUGCACUGCAGCGCGAACUGGUUUCCUUGAGUACGCACAAAGUGGGCGGAAUUCGUGGUGUAGCGGUGAAAUGCUUAGAUAUCACGAAGAACUCCGAUUGCGAAGGCAGCUCACUGGAGCGCAACUGACGCUGAAGCUCGAAAGUGCGGGUAUCGAACAGGAUUAGAUACCCUGGUAGUCCGCACGGUAAACGAUGGAUGCCCGCUGUUGGUCUGAACAGGUCAGCGGCCAAGCGAAAGCAUUAAGCAUCCCACCUGGGGAGUACGCCGGCAACGGUGAAACUCAAAGGAAUUGACGGGGGCCCGCACAAGCGGAGGAACAUGUGGUUUAAUUCGAUGAUACGCGAGGAACCUUACCCGGGCUUGAAUUGCAGAGGAAGGAUUUGGAGACAAUGACGCCCUUCGGGGCCUCUGUGAAGGUGCUGCAUGGUUGUCGUCAGCUCGUGCCGUGAGGUGUCGGCUUAAGUGCCAUAACGAGCGCAACCCCUCUCCUUAGUUGCCAUCAGGUCAUGCUGGGCACUCUGGGGACACUGCCACCGUAAGGUGUGAGGAAGGUGGGGAUGACGUCAAAUCAGCACGGCCCUUACGUCCGGGGCUACACACGUGUUACAAUGGCAGGUACAGAGAGACGGUUGUACGUAAGUACGAUCAAAUCCUUAAAGCCUGUCUCAGUUCGGACUGGGGUCUGCAACCCGACCCCACGAAGCUGGAUUCGCUAGUAAUCGCGCAUCAGCCAUGGCGCGGUGAAUACGUUCCC
rnacentral:rRNA from 1 species